AUUGAACGCUGGCGGCAUGCCUUACACAUGCAAGUCGAACGGUAACAGGUCUUCGGAUGCUGACGAGUGGCGAACGGGUGAGUAAUACAUCGGAACGUGCCCAGACGUGGGGGAUAACGAGGCGAAAGCUUUGCUAAUACCGCAUACGAUCUAAGGAUGAAAGCAGGGGACCGCAAGGCCUUGCGCGUUUGGAGCGGCCGAUGGCAGAUUAGGUAGUUGGUGGGAUAAAAGCUUACCAAGCCGACGAUCUGUAGCUGGUCUGAGAGGACGACCAGCCACACUGGGACUGAGACACGGCCCAGACUCCUAAGGGAGGCAGCAGUGGGGAAUUGUGGACAAUGGGCGAAAGCCUGAUCCAGCAAUGCCGCGUGCAGGAUGAAGGCCUUCGGGUUGUAAACUGCUUUUGUACGGAACGAAAAGGCUCUGGCUAAUACCUGGGGCACAUGACGGUACCGUAAGAAUAAGCACCGGCUAACUACGUG
rnacentral:rRNA from 1 species